rnacentral:rRNA from 1 species
UACAGAGGGUGCAAGCGUUGUUCGGAAUUAUUGGGCGUAAAGGGCGCGUAGGCGGUGCGGUAAGUCUGUAGUGAAAUCUCUGGGCUCAACUCAGAGUCUGCUGCAGAAACUGCCGUGCUUGAGUGUGGGAGAGGUGAGUGGAAUUCCCGGUGUAGCGGUGAAAUGCGUAGAGAUCGGAAAGAACACCAACGGCGAAAGCACUCUGCUGGGCCGACACUGACACUGAGAGACGAAAGCUAGGGGAGCGAAUGGG